rnacentral:rRNA from 1 species
GACGAACGCUGGCGGCGUGCUUAACACAUGCAAGUCGAACGGAAAGGCCCUGCUUUUGUUGGGUGCUCGAGUGGCGAACGGGUGUGUAACACGUGAGUAACCUGCCCUUGACUUUGGGAUAACUUCAGGAAACUGGGGCUAAUACCCGAUAUGAGCUCCUGCUGCAUGGUGUGGGUUGGAAAGUUUCGGCGGUUGGGGAUGGACUCGCGGCUUAUCAGCUUGUUGGUGGGGUAGUGGCUUACCAAGGGUUUGACGGGUAGCCUGCCUGGGAGGGUGACCGGCGACAUGGGGACUGAGAUACGGACCAGACGCCUACGGGAGGCAGCAGUGGGAAAUAUGGCAGAAUGGGCGGAAGCCUGAGGCAGCAACGCCGCGUGCGGGAUGACGGCCUUCGGGUGGAAAACAGCUUUGGAAUGUGACGAAGAGUGAGUGACGGUAAUGAGUAAAGAAGCACCGGCUAACUACGUG